rnacentral:lncRNA from 1 species
AACUGGAGCUAAGGGCACAGAAGUUGAAAAGGCAAAAGGCAAGCGUUCUUCUGGGUGGUCUGAGCGUGGUCCUAGGAAGGACGCUGUUUGUGAAGGUAAAAUCUCUAAUUGGGGAGAGAAGGGCCAGCUGGUGAGCUGUUGAGAUCAGGUGAAGACCUGAAUCGCAGAAGCACAGCACGGUCAGAGCCCGCUGCGCCGGCAGCAAGGCCAGAAGGUGCACGAAGAAGGUGAGGAUGCCUCUCUGUUUAUCGGUAAAGAAAUGCCUGGUGAGGGGACAGCAUGUAUGUUUGUGUGGAGGGUGAUGAAUAAAGAAAAGUAAACCAUGAGGACCCUCAGAAAUUUAAAAUAAUGGUUCCAACAUGGAGCUCAACAGACCAGGUGAAGAAUAGAUCAAUGCACCUGAAAAUGAAUUAUGGCCCCAAUAAUCAAGCUGCUCAAAAGGCAUCUCAUGUGAAUUUCCUGUGUGAAGGAUUGACAGAACAGAGGAGAGAGAGAAAAUUAAUAGUGAAAUAAAACUACCCAGAGAUAAAUGAAGACACAUGUAUGUGUGUUGAAUGAGUUCACUGGAAGCUGAUCACAGUGAGUGAAACAGAUAAGCGCUUACAGGCAGCACUGGGAAAUUUCACAACAACAGGGGUGAAGAGUAAGUUCCAAAAGAUUUCAAAGCAGUCUGGGUGCAGUGGCUCACGCCUGUAAUCCCAGCACUUUAGGAGACUGAGGCAGGUAGAUCACUUGAGGUCAGGAGUUCAAGACAAGCCUGGCCAACAUGGUGAAACCCCGUCUCUACUAAAAAUACAAAAAAUUAGCCAGGCGUGGUGGCGGGCACCUGUAAUCCCAGCUACUCAGGAGGCUGAAGCAGGAGAAUCACUUGAACCUGGCAGGCGAAGGUUGCAGUGAGCCGAGAUGGCACCAUUGCAUUCCAGCCUGGGAAACAAGAGUGAAACUCUGUCUCAAAAAAAAAAAAAAAAAAAAAAAAAUUCCGAGGGAGAGAGAGGGGAGCAGGGGAAA